GCUGUCUCCCUGGGCUCAAGGUGGCUCCCACUGAGGGAAGGGGACGGAGGUAUCAGCCAGUGCAUCAGGACCUGGGGUCGUCACUCCCAAGGGGCCAUUACCCUGUUCAGUCUCCGUGGCCACUCUGGGGGAGGGAGGUAAACCUUUACAGGUAAGGCCCAGAGUGAGGCCCAGAGACAGAGUCAUUUGUGAGCACGCCAGGCUGAUGAGCGGCAGGGGGAAAAUUCAAAUCUGGGGAGGGUCUGACCCCAAAGUCCAACAUCUCUGGAGCCUCCUGCCCAUGUCAGGUGUUUGGAUUAAUGGGAUAUCCCAGAAAUAGUGUGUGCAGCCUCCCAGGGGACAACUUCUGCUGUCAGCCACCCAGACCAGUCAGCCGCGGAGAGCAGCAGCCUGCAGAUGGGACACCAGUGCUGAGUGGGACAGGUGCUGGCUUGGCCUUGGGAUGUCACAUGCAUACCCUCCCAGUGGACGUGAGGAUUCCAGGGGCUCAUGGGAUCUGCCUGCUGCACCCACAGGUGUGGCAGGCGUGCUUGUGGGACACCCGUUUGACACGGUCAAGGUGAGUCUCAUCGCUGCUUUUUUUUCCUCGGCGCGUACAUUGGAGAGAGGCUCACAGGGUUGGGGUGGCUGGAAGCCUGUUUCCGUGUACAGCCCCAGGUGGGCAGCUGCUUUUACACCAGGCCGGGUUGAACCUUCCUCACUGCUUUGUCCUGGCAUCUCCCAGCUGGGGCUGAUCCACAUGCUGGGUUCAUGGCC
rnacentral:lncRNA from 1 species